GGAGAGGUGGCUGAGUGGACGAAAGCGCACGAUUGGAAAUCGUGUGGGGGGCCAAAAAGCUCCCUCGAGGGUUCGAAUCCCUCCCUCUCCGCCA
rnacentral:tRNA from 1 species